GGAAGCCUCGCCGAGGCUAGUGUCAGUGGAAGCUGGGGUGUCGGCGGGCGGCCGCGGCCGGGUCUAGCGGUGCCUGCGGAAGGAGGAGGAGGAGGAGGAGGGCUGGCGAUGAGAACCAGCAGGAGGAAUCAAGGGCAAGAAGGGACCCAGAGGGGCAGGUGGCUGAGAUGCUGGUGUCCAGGUGACCCGAGGAAUCCUCUGGAGAUAGAGGCCCGCGCAUGCGCGUGCUCGAGCGCUGAAGCCCAUUGCCCGCAGGGCGCUGGACUGGCGCCCCGGCCGGCGAGGCUGUCUAGUCCAGGCUCCAGGCCCCGGCUCUGACCAGGCGCCACCGCCUCCCGGUGCAGCUGAAAGUCGACGAAGAGGGCGGGGCGAGGGCGGCUUGUGGACUUCCACACUUUUCCUCUCUUCGGGCCAGUCCGGGGAGAGGGUGGCUAGCUGUGGCGGCGGCCAAUUACGUGGCGGACCUGCGGGGCUAAGCUGGCACGUCACUUCCGACUAGUGGAGUUUUUAGCCUUUUAACAUUCAAGGAUUAGGUAAGUUCUCCCCGCGGUAGACUUCAAAUACUCUUUGUCCUGCCCCUGCUUGGCGAAAUUUACCGAAAUUAUCUACCUAUCCCGCUGGAGUGGGAGCCGGGAGAGAGCUGGAACCGCGUCUCUGCUGCUCACCUUUGUGUCCUUAGCUCCUUCGCAUGGGGUCCGACCGCAACACGUGCGCUGGAUAAACGCUUGUUAACUAGGUAAAAGUCUCGCAGUGAAAAACCCGAGGACCCUUACUGCAAGUGUCCUUUGCUCCCAGCUACUGAUACUGGAUUCCACUCGUGAUUCUCCCUUUCUUAGCGCAUUCAUGAUAUAGACAUCAGUCUCUGAGCUGGAAGAGGACAAAGGCAGCGGUCCUGUGAAUUCUAUGCUCUAGCUUGGGUUAAGGGAUUUGGAAUUGCACUUGUUCCAGAGAGCUCCCUCUUUGCCCACUAGCAGGGCAUUAGCUGGUGCUGAAGACAGUGGCUGCUUGGCGAGCCUGGAUCUCCAAGUGACCCCCUCAGCAACUCCUGAUGAACAGGACUGAAGCCAAUAUUAAAGCAAGUCAACCAAAGGUUCUCUGGUGUAGACAAGACAGCAAAAGGACAGACUACCUUGUGGAACCUAGCAUUGUUCUCCUUCUGCAGCACUAAGUAACGUUUGUGCUCCGUAAGAUCUUUGCAAACCACACACAAGAAUUGCUGGUCAUCCUGUCAAUAGAUGCUGCUCACAGAACCAAAUUUACUGUGCUGGAUUGUCAUUCAUGGGCUUGAGAGUAGGAGACUGGAGACCAAGGUGGCUAGAAUCCAGUUGGGCCUGACGUCUCCCUGUUGAAAAGGCUCCUUGUGGAACGAACAGCACAUGGCUCCCGUGGUGGAUCAGAUAGUGGCACAGCACCAAAUGAUGCAGGCCUGCCAGGGGCCAGGGCCACAGAAGAUGCUCCCAGGGUCCCCCGUGUACUCCAGACACACUACAGGCCACCUCUCCCAGCAGGUUCCCAGUCAUGGGCCCCAUUGUCAUGACUUUAAAGCACACCUUAACACCUGAGCACAUCUCUUCCUUAACACCUGUGACUUUCUGACAGGUGGAGGAUGUGGUCAGGAAUGGGAAAAGGAUUUGAGAUGGGAAGAGGGAGGGGUUCAGGAUGAAGAGAGAUAAUCUGUGUCACAGAUGCCAGCCCUGCAGUUAGCUCCCACCUAGUCCGUGCACACACAUUCUAAUGCCCUCCCAUUCUUCUACAUGCUGCGGCCAGAGAGGCCUUUCUCAAAGUGGAAGUCUCAUCCUCGCUUCUCUGGUUACGGUGCUGGGCCAUGGAUGACUUACAAGGCUUAGCAGGAACUGUCUGCAUACUCCCCCUUCCUGCCCACUACCUUGUUUCCCUCCAGUCACGAAAGCAAACGUUGGGCAUUAACUGUGUGCCAGGCUUGUCCUAAUCCUUCACAUGUAUUCACUCAAACAAUCCUCACAACAUUCCUAUCACAUCUCCCGUUUCACAGUGAUGGUUCUAAAGCACGCAGUGGGUGAGGAACUUGUCCAGGGUGACACAACUAAGUGGGGGUGGAGAAACAUCAAAUCUAGGUGGUCCAGGUGGUGGCCAGAACCCAUCAGCACCUCACUACAGCUGCCUCCAGUUUCUCCCUGUAGGAAAUACUCUUCUCUGUCAACUCGUGUUGCCCUCUGGGCUCGGUUGACAUGUCGUCUCCGCAUGACAUCCUGAGAUGCUCCCCAACUAGGGUGGGCACCCACUUCCACACUCCAAAUGCCUGUCUAUUUGACCUGUGUAUUGCUGCAUCCCCAUUGCCAGGCAGAUAGCAGGCCCCUAAUAAAUAUGAUUUGAGCAAAUAAAUAUAGUUCUUCAAAAAAUAGGGAGGACUUCUUGCUUCUGAUAAUGGUGGGCUAGGACAUUUGGACCAACCCUCAUGCAGAAAAUAGUCAUUUAUUUUGAUGCAAUAUGCCUGGCUAUGACUAUAGAGAUUUCAAAUAUUUGGAGGGCUAUUAUGUGAAGAAUUAUACUUACUCUUUGUGACACAGAGGUCAGAAAUUGGUCGUUUCCAUAGAGUAUGAGAGACACAGAAUUGUGCUCAUCAUAAGUAUCUUUUUUAAAAACUAGACCUAAUAAGAUGGGCUGCCUUGGUAGGUGGUGAGUUCUCUGUCACGAAAGAGAUUCAGCCACUUGCUCUGAGAAAGCAUGGAGAAUAUCAGCAUUGUAAGGGUCAACCACCUCAUCUCUGAGGCCCCCUCCUCACUUAGGUUGCCAUUGCAGGUGGAACACUGGGCUGAGUGUCAAAGAACCUGGGUUCCACAAGCUGUGCAAUCAUGGCUGGUUGUUUUUGGAUCUCAUUCCUAAUACCUGUUAGUUAAGCUGACCCAUCAAUACUGACCCACUUCACAGAGUUAUGAAGGGAUUAAAUUAGGUAUUACAUAUAAAUCUUUGUUUUGUUUGCUUUUUGUUGUUUUUUGUUUUGCUUUUUUCUUUGCAUUAUGAAAUCCCAAGUCAACUUUUUCCAUUCUUUUAUUUCUUAAAAAAUUGACAUCAUCAUUACAACAACAAAAUAAUUUUUAAAAUGAAAAAAAAAACUCACAACCCCACAACCUAAUACAAUAAUCAUACUUUUUCCCUUUAUUCUCCUUUAUUGUGACCAAGGAUGACUUUGGGCAUUGCUGUAAGGAACUAUUUCGUUUAACACCCCACUACCUGAACAUGAUGCAUACUCAGCCUUUCACCACCCUCCAAGUAGCUACACAUGAUAGGAUAAUAGUAUUGGUGGUGGUUUUAGAGAGUUGGAGAGAAAACUGAAGUUGGAUUUGGGUAAAAGAAAAAAGCCUGGGAAUUAUUUUUUCUCCAUUCUAAAGCCCAUAGAGCAGUGUUAAUUGUUCCCACCCCUCUGCUAUUCUGUCUCCUCAGGUACUGUGUGCAGAAAUGUAAUUGAGAUUCAAGUCAGGGCCUCUGCCCUUUUCCCUCCAGAAACAAAACCAAGAUAAUUUAUCCUGAACACACACGGUGAAAAAAGGAAGGGAAGGGGGAGAAAAAGUCCAGGUCUUACCUGGGAUUCUCUGUCUCCUGCAACAUGAAGGAUUUAGCCUGGGAGGAGGUGGUGAGAACUCUGGGAGAGAAAAAAGAAGGAAAGAAUAGUUUUACCCAUGCUGAAGUUAAACCUUCACCUAGAGAAGCAAAAACAAACCACACUUUUCCAUUUUGUGCCUCCCUUCCUAGAGUUUUAGCCAAAGGUGUAACUAAGUAAUUGGUUUUACCAGGGCAGUCACUCCUCCUAUCCCGAGUCUGUUUGACUUCCUCCCCAUCAUCCUCCUCACCUCUUUUCAGGCAGGGUGGGGAUAGCAGCAGGAGGAGAUUUUGGGAGCCUGGCAACUCCUGCAAGGACCGCAGGACAGCACCUCUGUGGGGAUGCGUGGUGCCCCAUCUGCCGCCCUUCUGAAGAAUGCACUGCCUUCACUUUACUGUGUUAGAGUCCAUCCAGACGUUCUAUCCAAAGAAUAGUUUCUUUUUCCCCCACAGGCAAUCAGGAAAUGAUUCCUUUCCCGACUGCUUCUGUCUAGUGCCUGGGAAUCUUGAGUCAAUCCCUCAGUAAGUCAGUGACUAGGGGAAUCUCCCCUCUCUGAGCCUCCCAGUUCAUGUUGCUUAGGGAACCUGAUAUUUUCGUGAAACCUGCCUACACAUGGGCAGCCCAACAGCAGAGCAAAUGGUGGUGAACAAAGAAGUAUAGUUGUGCCAGCUUCCUGGUUGCCCAUGUGGACAAGUCAGCAGGAUCAGGACACGAGGAAGAGUAAAUGUGAGACAGUCACGUGACUUCUGCGAUAAACAGAUUUUUAAGCCCCGAAGUUUUGCUAAAAUUUUGGUGAAACCUGAACUUUCUUCGUUGCAUAUACUGGCACUAUCUGUACCAUCAUACAACUAUCUCACAUUAAAGCUAUUUUUCUUGAGCA